rnacentral:tRNA from 1 species
GCCUGCAUGGCUCAGUUGGUUGAGCGUCCGACUUUGGCUCAGGUCAUGAUCUCGCAGUUCGUGAGUUCGAGCCCCACUUCGGACU